GAUGAACGCUGGCGGCGUGCCUAAUACAUGCCAGUCGAGCGAACGGACGAGAAGCUUGCUUCUCUGAUGUUAGCGGCGGACGGGUGAGUAACACGUGGAUAACCUACCUAUAAGACUGGGAUAACUUCGGGAAACCGGAGCUAAUACCGGAUAAUAUUUUGAACCGCAUGGUUCAAAAGUGAAAGACGGUCUCGCUGUCACUUAUAGAUGGAUCCGCGCUGCAUUAGCUAGUUGGUAAGGUAACGGCUUACCAAGGCAACGAUGCAUAGCCGACCUGAGAGGGUGAUCGGCCACACUGGAACUGAGACACGGUCCAGACUCCUACGGGAGGCAGCAGUAGGGAAUCUUCCGCAAUGGGCGAAAGCCUGACGGAGCAACGCCGCGUGAGUGAUGAAGGUCUUCGGAUCGUAAACCUCUGUUAUUCGGGAAGAACAUAUGUGUAAGUAACUGUGCACAUCUUGACGGUACCUAAUCAGAAAGCCACGGCUAACUACGUG
rnacentral:rRNA from 1 species